AGAGUUUGAUCCUGGCUCAGAUUGAACGCUGGCGGCAUGCCUUACACAUGCAAGUCGAACGGCAGCACGAGAGCUUGCUCUUGGUGGCGAGUGGCGAACGGGUGAGUAAUAUAUCGGAACGUACCCUAGAGUGGGGGAUAACGUAGCGAAAGUUACGCUAAUACCGCAUACGAUCUACGGAUGAAAGUGGGGGAUCGCAAGACCUCAUGCUCAUGGAGCGGCCGAUAUCUGAUUAGCUAGUUGGUGGGGUAAAAGCUCACCAAGGCGACGAUCAGUAGCUGGUCUGAGAGGACGACCAGCCACACUGGAACUGAGACACGGUCCAGACUCCUACGGGAGGCAGCAGUGGGGAAUUUUGGACAAUGGGCGCAAGCCUGAUCCAGCAAUGCCGCGUGAGUGAAGAAGGCCUUCGGGUUGUAAAGCUCUUUUGUCAGGGAAGAAACGGUGGACUCUAAUACAGAUCACUAAUGACGGUACCUGAAGAAUAAGCACCGGCUAACUACGUGCCAGCAGCCGCGGUAAUACGUAGGGUGCAAGCGUUAAUCGGAAUUACUGGGCGUAAAGCGUGCGCAGGCGGUUGUGCAAGACAGAUGUGAAAUCCCCGGGCUCAACCUGGGAAUUGCAUUUGUGACUGCACGGCUAGAGUGUGUCAGAGGGGGGUAGAAUUCCACGUGUAGCAGUGAAAUGCGUAGAGAUGUGGAGGAAUACCGAUGGCGAAGGCAGCCCCCUGGGAUAACACUGACGCUCAUGCACGAAAGCGUGGGGAGCAAACAGGAUUAGAUACCCUGGUAGUCCACGCCCUAAACGAUGUCUACUAGUUGUCGGGUCUUAAUUGACUUGGUAACGCAGCUAACGCGUGAAGUAGACCGCCUGGGGAGUACGGUCGCAAGAUUAAAACUCAAAGGAAUUGACGGGGACCCGCACAAGCGGUGGAUGAUGUGGAUUAAUUUGAUGCAACGCGAAAAACCUUACCUACCCUUGACAUGUCUGGAAUCCUUGAGAGAUCAGGGAGUGCUCGAAAGAGAAUCAGAACACAGGUGCUGCAUGGCUGUCGUCAGCUCGUGUCGUGAGAUGUUGGGUUAAGUCCCGCAACGAGCGCAACCCUUGUCAUUAGUUGCUACGAAAGGGCACUCUAAUGAGACUGCCGGUGACAAACCGGAGGAAGGUGGGGAUGACGUCAAGUCCUCAUGGCCCUUAUGGGUAGGGCUUCACACGUCAUACAAUGAUACAUACAGAGGGCCGCCAACCCGCGAGGGGGAGCUAAUCCCAGAAAGUGUAUCGUAGUCCGGAUUGUAGUCUGCAACUCGACUACAUGAAGUUGGAAUCGCUAGUAAUCGCGGAUCAGCAUGUCGCGGUGAAUACGUUCCCGGGUCUUGUACACACCGCCCGUCACACCAUGGGAGCGGGUUUCACCAGAAGUGGGUAGCCUAACCGCAAGGAGGGCGCUCACCACGGUGGGAUUCGUGACUGGGGUGAAGUCGUAACAAGGUA
rnacentral:rRNA from 1 species